CAAUAAGGUCCCUGUAGGUUUGGGGACUGCAGAUGUCGUUUUAUGGAUCUGCGCUGUGAUUGCCAGCCAGGCCAAAACUUCCCAGUGAGUGCAGGCAUCGUUCCAAGGCUUUGAUAAUUGUUCGUGGAAACUCUCUACCAUCAGGACACAAUCCAGAGCCUUCAUAGUGGAGUCCUACCUUGCUGGUGAUACCCUCUCAAGUCAUUUCUCAGACCUCUGGUUUGCUGCCCCCUGGCAGACAGAAAAGGUGGAGUUCCAGAGUCCCACAAAGGAUGCUGGGAUCUUCGGUUCUGUCCACAGUGGAAAGAACACGACUUCAACACUUGCCUGCAAGACUUUAAGGCAGAGAAUUCAACAAGCCUGGAAAAGAGGGAUCCUCAGUUGACAGACAAGCAAGAAGAAUGAAGAAAAAGAGCCACUGAACCCAGAGGCUCAGCUGGAGGUCACCAUCUCAACCUCGGCAGCAUGCAGACCAGAUGUUUCUUUCUGUUUGCGGUGGCCACAGAUUCUGAGGUGGGUGAUCAGAAAGGCCCAGGCUCCUGCCCUCCCAGAGUCUGCUUCUCUAGGUUCCUGUCACUUCUCCAAGCUCUCGACAUCCUGCCAAUAAAUUCCUUUUUGCUGAA